UGUGCAUUUAAACCCGAGAGGAUGAGAACCUCCGGGGGAAGAGAUUCGACUCGAGCGAAGCGAGAGAACGUUGCGCAGCAACGGCCCGAAGGGCGAGCCACGCAGUGGCGAGUUAUCCUCUAUCACCGACCA
rnacentral:sRNA from 1 species